rnacentral:rRNA from 1 species
GAUGAACGCUGGCGGCGUGCCUAAUACAUGCAAGUCGAGCGAACGGACGAGAAGCUUGCUUCUCUGAUGUUAGCGGCGGACGGGUGAGUAACACGUGGAUAACCUACCUAUAAGACUGGGAUAACUUCGGGAAACCGGAGCUAAUACCGGAUAAUAUUUUGAACCGCAUGGUUCAAAAGUGAAAGACGGUCUUGCUGUCACUUAUAGAUGGAUCCGCGCUGCAUUAGCUAGUUGGUAAGGUAACGGCUUACCAAGGCAACGAUGCAUAGCCGACCUGCGAGGGUGAUCGGCCACACUGUAACUGAGACACGGUCCAGACUCCUACGGUGGGCAGCAGUAGGGAAUCUUCCGCAAUGGGCGAAAGCCUGACGGAGCAACGCCGCGUGAGUGAUGUAGGUCUUCGGAUCGUAAAACUCUGUUAUUAGGGAAGAACAUAUGUGUAAGUAACUGUGCACAUCUUGACGGUACCUAAUCAGAAAGCCACGGCUAACUACGUG